GUUGGCUUCGAACUCAGAUCUUUUGCUCCCUGCCUCCCAAGUGCCUGUGCCACCAUGAUACAGCUAAGAUUUUAAAAUCGUGUGUGAGGGUGUGUACAUGUGGGUGCAGGUGCCCACAGAGGCCAGAAGAGGGCAGCAGAUCUCCCUGAAGCUGGAGUGAUGGGAGUUUAUGAAUACUGGAAACUAACCUUGGCUCUUGUACAAGAGCAGUACUCCCUCUAUCGAGCCGUAUCUCUAGCCCAUGCAUACAGUUCUUCGGCGUGUAGCCUGGCAGAGGUGUGUGUCUGUAUGUCCCCUACCUGGAUUGAAAGAUACAUUCCAGCAUUUGGGGCUUGGCACUGCUGCCCAGUUAAUAUGAUGCCCCACGAAGCCCCAAGUUUAACCCAGGGCACCUCACAAGUACAGCAGUCCACACUGAAAUCCCAGCACUUGGGAGUUAGAAACCGGAGGACUGGAAGAUCAAGGUCAUUCUUGGCCGCGGAGUGAGUUUGAGGCCCUCCCUAGGAUACAUGAAAACUUGUCUUACAAAGAAGAAAAAUCUGAUAUCCCAGAGGCAGCACUGUGUCCCUAGCAAUCAGCACCCUCCAAAGGUAUCCAGGCCUAGAGGUUUUAUCCGAGUCCCUAGGCCCAAGUGCGCCAUGAGGACGGACACCCGCUGAAGCUUUGCUGGUCAUUGCAGCCUGGUCAGGACAGCCGCUGGUUGCCGGUCCUGGUCGCCUGCAGGGUUGUGUUUAUCCCCCUGCUGAUGCUCUGCAAUGUGAAGCAGCACCACUACCUGCCCUCCCUCUUUAAGCAUGAUGUCUGGUUCAUCACCUUCAUGGCCGCCUUUGCCUUCUCCAAUGGCUACCUCGCCAGCCUCUGCAUGUGCUUCGGGCCCAAGUGAGUGGGGCCACGUGGGAGGGAAUGUGGGGCCAUCAGGCAGGGCUUAGGGGGAGGUGGCAAUAGGAGAGUCCCUCCCAUCCCAACUGCUAGCCCCAGGAGCUGGGGCUUGUGAGGGGGAGUGGAGGUGAGGGCUUGCAAAUGUGCUCUUGCUGAACUGUGUGGGAGGGGAUCAAGGCUGGAGGAUGGUUCCGAGACACAUUUUCCCAGGAAGUGGGCUGGGAGUGGGAGUUUAGGAAGGCACUCAGGGGCAGGGCUGGGCUUGGCUUACCUAAGAUCACCUUGCCUUUUUUUUUUAGGAAAGUCAAACCGGCUGAGGCAGAGACUGCCGGAAACAUCAUGUCCUUCUUUCUGUGUCUGGGCCUGGCUCUGGGAGCUGUGUUGUCCUUCUUGUUAAGGGCACUUGUGUGAGCGACCCUGUGUGGACAGAGGAACUACACUGCCUGCUUCCUGCUCACUUCCUUCGCUGUUAGGGACGAGCAGGGGUCCAGAGGGCUGCUCUUCUGCUUUCCUCCGGUGCUGGGCCCAGAUGUCCAGGAACAAAGGAGGGAGCCUCUGAGGAUGGACUUGGGAUUGGGGGUCAGAGUGGUAGGGGGACAAUGGUCUCUGACGGACAGCUCUGACUGAUCCCUGCCUAAGCCAAGCACAAGAGACUCCACAAGGAUGGGGUGGAGACAGAUGGCUGACUGUGUAUCAUGAUCUGAUGUCCCUUGCCCUUCUUUCUUCUGUGCCUGUUCCAGGUCCCCGAUCCUUGUCAUUUUACUGCCUUUUUUAUACUGACAGAAACCAGGUGCCUUCAGAGGCCAUCUGAUUAAAUAAACAUUUUUUUCCUCCAUA
rnacentral:lncRNA from 1 species